CCCUGUGCUCAGCUUCGUGUCGAUCUCUGAUGCAUCCGACUGCAGAGUCAUCUGAGUUUUUCUGCAGAGAGGGAGGGAAGCAGAGCGGCGCUGGAGGGAGGAACUCUUCACUUCUUCUCAUGAAAGCGUGUCACACGUUGGGAGAGAGGAGGCAGAGGAGCGUCUCAGCACGCCAGGAGCAGAGGCAGGGGCAACUCGGAGAGGGAAGGAGGAUUCUUUUACAGCUUCUUUUGUUUAUAUGCAAUUGAGGUGACAAGAGAGACCCUCGUGUUCGUGGGUCAGCUGGUGAGAAAAAAAUGAAGAAUCAAAUCACCAGUGCCCUGUCUGACUUCUUUUUUGAGUACGAGACCCCUCGCCAGGUGCUGGUGAGGAACAGGAGGGUGGGAGUGGUGUGCCGGCUCAUCCAGCUGGGGGUCCUGGUUUACAUCAUUGGGUGGGUCUUCAUCUAUGAGAAAGGUUACCAGUCCACAGACACUGCAGUGAGCUCCGUAUUCACCAAAAUGAAGGGAGUGGGCUACACCAACGUGAGUGGGAGAGAGACGGUUUGGGACGUGGCCGACUACGUCUUCCCUUCUCAGGGAGACUCAUCUUUUGUUGUGAUGACUAACUACAUCAUCACCGAAGGUCAGAAAAUGGGAAAGUGUCCAGAGCUUGAGGGCAAGCACAACUGCAUCUCACACGACGACUGUGUAGGAGGGAGUUACAAACGUACGGGGCACGGACAAAUGACUGGAGUCUGUGUGAACACCACAAAAACCUGUGAGGUGUUAGCUUGGUGCCCAGUUGAGGACGAUCACACUGUACCAAGUCCUCCUCUUCUGAUGUCUGCAGAAAACUACACGCUUUUCAUCAAAAACUCCAUAACGUUCCCCUUAUUUGACGUCACAAGGAGUAAUUUGGUGGAGGAAGUUAAUAAGGAUUACCUCAGCAAAUGUCUUUACCAUCCAGAGGAUGCUCCACUCUGCCCUAUAUUCAAACUGGGAGACAUAGUGAAACUGUCUGGCUUCAGCUUUGAAAAUUUAGCCCAAGAGGGAGGGGCCAUCGGUAUUGUGAUUGACUGGACAUGUAACCUGGACUUUCAUGUUAAACACUGCAAGCCAGAGUACAACUUUCACGGUCUCUAUGGAAACCCCACUGAUGCUGAUGCCAGUGCAUCAAUGGGCUACAAUUUCAGGUAUGCAAAGCAUUAUAUGGAAGAUAAAGUUCCCAAGAGAACCCUCCUCAAAGUGUUUGGCAUCAGGUUUGAUAUCAUUGUGAAGUCACUGGCGAGAAAAUUCGACAUAAUCCCAACACUCACAGCAAUAGGCUCUGGCGUGGGGAUUUUUGGAGUGGCGACUGUGGUUUGUGACUUGGUGCUGCUUUAUUUGCUGCCAAAAAGGGAGUUUUACAAGAACAUGAAAUUCAAAUAUACAGACACACACAUACAGCAGGACAGUGAGUCUUACGAUUUAGACUCUAGCACCUAUUACACCCUCGAAGCAAAUUCAAGACAAGCACAAGACAAGUCCAAUGUGAGUGCAAGACAAAGCCAGGACCUUAGAGCCGAUUCGGUUUACUUCUAAAAUAUUCUAUAUUAGAAGAGGUUCACAGUGGAGAUUUAAAUGGUCCCUGUUCUGUUGUGCGGCUUCUGUCCAACAGGAUCCUGAUGCAGAGGCAGGAAGCACAGAGGCAGAGAAGUGAUCUGUGAGCAAACGAGUGAGUGCCCCAGCUGGUUUAUAAAGUGAACUGCACAGGAGAAACAUCAUGGCACAUGAAGGCAAACAUGCACACCCUCUCACCACUCUGGAUGGACUCCUGAGAAAGGAAAUUACAUUUCUCUGAGCCUCAGCAGCAUCUUCAACCAGGGACCUCCUCCCACUCCAAAACCAACACGAGUCACUGUAAUGUGUGUUUUAAGACGAGCCGUCUGCAUCCAAGCUGUAUGUGUACUUUUUUUUUUAGGGGUGUUAUACUGUUGUUCCCAAGAUGGGUGUAACCUUCUCAUGUUAAACCGUGCCUACAAACGAACAGACAAGGGAGGCAGAUGUGGCACUUCAGUGUGUGCACGAAUCGUAUGUCACCUCCGUCAGUGUCCCUGUCAUUGCAAAUAAAAACAGACAAAACUUGUGUUUGCAUUUGACACCACAGAGAUCCAUCCCAUGUGUAGAUACGUGAUGAACAGUUGAACUAAAAUAAACAAGUUGUCCAACU